rnacentral:rRNA from 1 species
UACGAAGGGGGCUAGCGUUGCUCGGAAUCACUGGGCGUAAAGGGUGCGUAGGCGGGUCUUUAAGUCAGAGGUGAAAUCCUGGAGCUCAACUCCAGAACUGCCUUUGAUACUGAGGAUCUUGAGUUCGGGAGAGGUGAGUGGAACUGCGAGUGUAGAGGUGAAAUGCGUAGAUAUCUGGAGGAACACCGGUGGCGAAGGCGGCAUCCUGGACCGAGAUUGACGCUGAGGCGCGAAAGCCAGGGGAGCAAACGGG